GCUACAGAGCAAAAGGUGUUUGUCAAUAGCAGGACAGUCUUUUUGAAAAAAGAAUUUCUUGGUUAAGAAGCUAAUACCAUAAAAUUGAACUUGAUGAAGUUCAAGAGGUGAAAGAACCGACACACAUAGAAUUAGAUUUGAUUGGAGAAUCAAAUCUGAAACCAGUAGAGGCACCAUUAAGGAGAUCCGAUAGAGUAUCAC
rnacentral:lncRNA from 1 species